GCUCCGGUGGCCUAGUGGUUAGAGCGUCCGCCUCAGAUGCGGGAGGUCGUGGGUUUGAUCCCCAUGCGAGUCA